rnacentral:lncRNA from 1 species
AAACCUGAACCGAAACCAGAGCCCAUGCCACAUCCUGAGCCUAAACCUGAACCAAAGCCCAUGCCGGAGCCAAAGCCAAUGCCACAUCCAGAGCCGAAACCUGAGCCCAUGCCUCACCCUGAACCGAAACCUGAGCCAAAGCCCGAACCUAAGCCUGAGCCAAAACCCAUGCCCGAGCCAAAACCUGAACCAAAACCCAUGCCCGAGCCUAAGCCGGAACCUAAGCCUGAGCCAAAACCUGAACCAAAACCUAAGCCUGAGCCAAAACCUGAACCAAAACCUAAGCCUGAGCCAAAACCCAUGCCCGAGCCGAAACCUGAACCAAAACCCAUGCCCGAGCCUAAGCCUGAGCCAACACCCGUGCCCGAGCCAAAGCCGGAACCUAAGCCCGAGCCGAAACCCAUGCCCGAGCCAAAACCCAAGCCCGAGCCAAAGCCGGAACCCAAGCCCGAGCCAAAGCCGGAACCUAAGCCCAAGCCGGAACCCAAGCCCGAGCCAAAGCCGGAACCUAAGCCCGAGCCGAAACCCAAGCCCGAGCCAAAGCCGGAACCCAAGCCCGAGCCAAAGCCCGAACCGAAGCCAAAGCCGAAGCCGGAACCUAAACCCGAGCCCAAGCCUGAACCAGAGCCGAAGCCGUAUCCUAAGCCGGAACCAAAACCCAAGCCAGAACCUAAGCCAGAACCCAAGCCAGAACCUAAGCCCGAAC